CAGGGUUUGUGAGGGGGAGAGAGGUGAGAUGUGGAUUGCAAGAAGUAGUCUGUGGCCGAUUAUAUCAGGCUUUGGAGGUUUUUUAUAAGGAUCUGGCUUUUAUCCUAAAUAAGCUAGGGAGCCAAUGAAGGGUUUUGAGCAGAGAAGUGUCAUGAUCUAAAUCAUAUGUUUAAAGCAUCAGACUGGCUGCUGUGUUGAGAAUAAACUGGUGGGCUAAGGCAGCAGGAGGGAGACCAGCUAGGAGGUGAUUGCAGGAAGUCAAGCAAGUGAUAAUGGGCUUGUACCCAGCUAGUGGGGUUCCAGUUAGUGAUGUUGAAAGUGUUGAAAAGUGUUCCGUUUCUGCUUUUUUUUAAAUGUGAAACCAACAGGACAUGCCAGUGAUUAUAAAGCAUAUGAUGAUGAUAUAGGAUAAAGGAAGAGAGGAGUUAAUUAAAUAUGACACUGAUGUUUUUAUCCUGAACAAAUGGAAGGAAGGAAUUGCUGAAAUAGAGACGUCUCUGAAGAGCAGAAGCUGUUUUGAACAUUGCAGUUUGAAAUACCUAUUAGACCUCUGCUUGGAGAUCCCAAACAGGAUCUAAGCAAUGGGAAGAAAGAAGUUGGCUGAAGAAAUGAUGGAAAUUAAUUAUAUAAUUGAAGAAAAAGAAGUCAAGGCACUGAGAGCAUGUUCAGUUGGCAGAAAUUCCAUGACAGCAUCUACAAGGGCAUAUUGGAGAGAGUGAGGGUAAGCUUGGAGUUUUCGCUCGUUGAACUUGUUCUCGUGAGCCUAUGAAUCUGGAGAAUCUUAUCCUUCUGUUCUAGGGAAGUUUUAAAAUCCUUUCUUUUAUAAUUUCUCCCCUCUGUUUUCUACAUUUUGUCUUUCUUAAAGUCCUGUUAGUAAAUGAUGGUCUCCUAGUUCAAUUACCUGAUUUACUUGACUCUUCCAUUUUUCCAUCCCUUUGUCUUUUUACUUAGUUUCUUGAAGACUUACCUUCCAGCCCUUUUAUUGAAUCUGUUAUUUCUGUUACCCUAUUUUCAUUUACCAAGAAUGAUUUCUUAUGCUCUACAUACUCCUUUUUUCAUGUAACCACACAUUCUUAUUUUGCAGAUGUAACAUUUUAUCUUUUUUUUGAGGUCAAUAAUAUGUUUAAGUGUUCUUUUCACUGCACUUUUUGUUACUCCAAGUUGCCUUUAUUCAUUUAUUUGUUUAUUUUAAUCUUUAAUAUUUUAUGUUGGAGACUUUCCUCACAUGUCUGGUGAUACUUGAUUGUUCACACUUAAGAGUGAGGCACUUAAAAAGCAAAUGGGAAGCUUUGUGUGUAUUUGCAGUGUUUGUCAAUUGCUACUGUUUACUGGAGAGCAAUCAGUCAGGCACCUGGUCAUUUCACUGGGAGACUUAAAAAUGUCAGUAUAUAAGUCUUUUCUCCAAUCAGUUGGUUUUGUCAAAGGGGACUCUUCCAAUUCCCUGCCUAGGGAAUAUAAAUCUAGUUGCCAGUGCCCUAACUGCAAGUGAGGGAAAAAGGGUGGGAGUCUCACUAAUUAGUAUAUGGCAUGUAGACUUGACCUUGAUCAUCCUUUUUCAGCCUUACUCCUAUCCUCUACAAAACAUGGUAUCAUUGGGUCUGAAAAUCCCUGGCUCUAUUUCCCUAGAAAUUAAACCAGUUGCCUGCUGGGCUGGUUGGUGUACAGAAGAGGAGAAGGAUUCUGAGGGGUCAUCUCCAAUCCCAUUUUUUUUCAGCCCCAGCCUGCAUCCCUUUCUACAGAAGUAACAACAAUUUCCAGUUUCUGAGCCUUUCCAGGGUUGUACAGUAGGUAUUCAUUUGCUUUUUGAUAUUUUCCACAGCAAAGCAAACUUUCUUGCUGCUCUGUUAACUUCGUUACCACUCACCCGUCUGCCUUCUGUCUUCCAACAUUUUGUUGCUAGCUCUUGUCUGCUGUUGCCUCUUCUGUUCUCUUUAUCCUUCCAGGUUUUAUAAGAUUGUUUUUAUUCCUUUUCAGUCAUUUCAGAGAGGCUUCAGGAUGGAGUUGUGAUAAACGCAUGUGUUCAGUCUACAAUGUUUAACAGGGAGUGCCUCUUGAUUUUUUCAUGUGAAUUACUGAGGAGUAGGUAGUAGACUAUCUUGAUGCCCUUCCUCAUGUCCCUUUGACUCUGAGUUGACCUGCAGCUGCAGUGAACACUUCCUAAGGAUGCUGAUGUCUUCCCCUAUCAAGCACUUGCCUCAUUCUGCUUCUCCGAGGAUUUCCUCCAGUACACCAAGAGCUUGCCCGACACUCACAAGGUAUCCUGGAACUGCUGGGGACUGAAAACCCCUCAACCCAUGAAGAAUGAGGAUCAGUGGAUUAAUAGCAACUGUCCCAUACCUUGGUGGGACUAUUAUAAGGCAUUCUGGUUGGUUCCUCAGAGGUCCCAAAUGGGAUUGAACCAAAGUUGCCCACAGUAAAAACUCAUUCACCAACUCAAUUUUCAUUUCACCCCUCUCAAUUUGCACACUCACUCACUUGUUCUACCUGGGAUACUCUCCAAGAUAAACUCCUGUAUCCAAAGCUUUGUCUCAAGGUCUCAUUUGGGAGGAACUCAAACUAAGAUAAUAGGUACUGGAAGUGACUACAGAAAGUAUAUUAUCAAUGGUAUGGAGGCAACAAAAACCCCAUUAAUGGUGGUGAGUAAGGUGGUGACAAACCCUGGCACUUUGAAGAAUUUCAUUACCCACAAUUGACCCAUGGUGUACUUGGAUGAGGUAAAAAUGAAAGGAGACGCUAACCUUAUGCAAUAGUGCUAACUCCUGAAAGAUAUAGGGCUGUGAUAAUCACAGGAAUUGAAGAGUUGUCUUGUUCUUGUUAACUCCCCUAGAAGAAUUGGGAAAAAAGAAAGAUAGGUUUACAACAUCCAACUACCCAUUCAGAGCAUAGCAAUGAAAGCCAGAAGGUCUCCUUGGGAGAAUCUGAAGAGACCCCCAUUUCCUGCAACCAGAGGGCAGGCUGUUCUAAAAAAAUGACAUUCAGGGGUUCACUGCAAGAGGAAUUGAACUACAGAGCAGACUGAAGACACAGUCCAGGCAGGCCUCUCAUGCAAAAGUCAAAGCCCUAGAGGAAGGAAAUGGUCCUUAAAAACUACUGGGAUGCAGGCAGGCAUCUGGAUAGAUGUGCUAGAUAACCUUGAACCCCUAGAUUCCCUGAACAACCCAGGCUAGCAGGAGUAUCCUGCACCCUGUUACUUGAACAGAACAGCUUCCCUUUGCCUAGAGACUCUACACAGUCCUCCUCUGAAGCAGACACCUCCAAGAUUACUUCAAGGUCUGCUACUUCCUGCCCUCAUUGCCUCUAUUCCAAAAACUGGAAACAAGUCUCAGCAUGCCCUGAGCAGGGUAGCACAUUUCUUGCUGUGAGAGAUAUGACAGAUUGUAUUUUCUAAAGAAGGCUGCAACCAUGUCUCUCAUCCCAAAUGCUCUUCUACAAUGCAAUCUUGUCACUCCUCUACCAAGAGAUGAAACCUAAUUUCAAUGCCCUUGAAUCUAAGCUGGACUUUACUUGCUUUGACCUGUAAUGUACAGAAGUGACACUGUGUGAUUCUUACAGCUGAGUCAUAAAAGGUGAUGCAGCUUCUGCCUUGUUCCUGGGGACAUAUGCCUCUGUGAGAUUGAGCUACUAAAUAACAAGACCACCUACCUUGAGGCUGCCAUGCUGGAAGAAAGCAAAGCCACAUGAAGAGCAAGUAAGCUGGUUGCUUUAGCAAGAUCCUUCAUAUUGAUAGUGAAUGUGCACUUCUGUCUUUCUCUUGUGAAUGCAAACCACUUUUUCAAUAGUCUCACGUUAAGUGCCAAAGAUUGUUGUUUUUGUUGAAUGCAUUCUCUUUAUCAUUCACUACCUGGCCCUAGGAAUUUGUUCAAUGAUCCUCAUUUCUGUUACAAUAUAGUCUUCAGUGACCUUGAUCAUCUUCACAUUCUAUAGAACAUCAUCCUGGCCCAUUAUAUUAAUGACAGAAUAAUAAUUGAACUUGGUUUUUAGGAAGGAGCAAGUAUACUGGUUUUAAAUACUUCAUGCUGAAGGAAUGAGAGAUAAGCCCUACAAAGUUUUGGAAGUCUGCCACAUCAGGGAAUAUUUUAGGGGCCCAAAGAUCCAGGGGUAUGUUGAGACACCCUACUCAAAAGAAUACUUUACAUUUCCUACCACUAAGACAGAGGCACAGCACUUGGUGAGCUGCUUUGAAUUCCUGAGGCAAAAAAAUAACAAUAAUAAAUACUACCCAUGAGAAUAAUGCUCUGAUCUAUUGUAUCAGAAGACUAUUGACUUUGCGGGGGUCUGAGAGAGUAUCUGAAUAGCCUUUUAAAGACUUAAAAAGGCAUUGGCUUAGGAAUUGCACCUUGCAUGGCUAGGUCAUUGUCCUCGAGGAUACAGCAUAUUUGUUGAACCAGUGAUCACUAUAUGCAAUCACUGUGCUGUUUUCCCAGCAUUUGGAAUACACAGGAAUGAUAAUUAAAGGAUACAAGUAGGACUGACUUAAACACACUCCCUUUCACCCAUUAGUGGAAAUUAUGUUUUUAAUUCUUACAACUUUAGGCUCUUCCUGAUUAAAAGCCUUGGUCUCAAGGUGUGUGUACAGACGGAGACAGUAAGUGUUCCACUGCAUCAAUGCAGUGCCAUCUGAGGAUUUGGGCAUCUCCAUACUGACAGGUCAGCAGGCAAAAAUGGGAGUACUAUACUGGCAGGGACACCUGACUGAUUAUCUUGAAGAGUCGGAGUUGCUGCUACAUAAUGGGCCCAGGGAGGAAGAUGUCUAGAACUUGGGGGAAUCACUCAGGCCCCCCUUAGUGCUUCUUUGUCUGGCGAUAAUAGCAGAGAAGCAAUUGAAGUAGCCAUGUCCUCACAAGGGCAAGGUAAUCAAGGCCCAGCCACUCAGAGAUGAAGGUCUGGUCAUACACUGAGCAAGCAAUGAUGACUAGUGGAAGUGCUAGCCAAGGAUUCGGGAAAUCUAGAAGAAGUGGAAUUGGAGAGAGAUGAUGAGUAUAGAUUAUAGCCUUGGGACCAGCUGCAGCAGUGAAGAUUGUGACUUGUUCCACAUAUUCUUCUAUUUUCAGUCAUUUUUGGAGAUUGCAGCCAGCUACAACUCUGAAAUGUCAGUAACAGAGCAAACUAAGGGUGGGCAUGAGAGGAUCUGCUGAGAGCAAGGAAUGAACAUGGUAGUCACUAAUGAUACACUGCCCAUGUUCCCCGGCUCACCUGUUAGCUCCCCGGCAGCUUGCAAACAUGUCUAUACACACUGCCAUCUUCCUACCACGAGUGCCAUAACUCUCUGCUUCUCUGCUGAGGCCCUUCUCAGCUCACAGUGCGAGUAGCCUGCAAGUGCUAAGGGCAUAAUGCCUCCAAGGUCAACUUUAAUCAACGAGGUUCAAGAGUCAGAAGAGUGAAUUCCUUCUGAGAUACAUUCUUUCUGGUUUCUCAGAGGCUCCCCAGAGGAAGUAGGCCCCAGUUGCUUAGGAAAAAUGGAACCUACUUAUUAAGGCACCCCCUUUUUACUUUUCUCCUUUCUUUCUCUCCCUUUCCCCACUCCAUUCCGUGAAGUUCCUGGGAUCACCAAAUAAACUAUCUGUAAUCAAA
rnacentral:lncRNA from 1 species